ACCAAGAUAAGCCACAAAUGCAAUACUCCAUAAAUUACUUUUAAAAAUCUUUUUAAUGAAGAAAUAAUUCCAUUCCAAAAUAUAGACACACAAUUAAAUAGUUUAAUCACUUCAAAAUAUAACAUGUCCCCAGUAGGUUCCAACACACACACACAAAACAAUACUUAACAGCAAUACAAAAAAACCCAUACAAUAGCAGUUCUGUUACAAUACCAAUGAAUAUUGUGACAUCUUUUGUGUCUCUGUAUCUGUCUCAAGUGGUGUCAAGUACAGUAGUUUUAAAAAUGUCUUACAGUUAGUAGCCUCAAGAUGUAACUCUUCAUACAUUUUUCUUUUGGUUCAAAGGUAAAAAUGCCCUUUGUCUUCAGGACACAGUGGACUGCUUGUUGUUCACAGCUCCGUCUGCUGAAUUGAACCAAUGUGAUUACAGCAACCUGAGGUUGCAAUAUUUACAAGGUCUAUCUACAGUAAUUGCCAAGAACCAAUAAGGAUGGGAGAAGAUGACCAAAAGUAAAGGCAGACACAUUUAUGAUAAAUUAUGGACAUUCAAGAACCCUAUCCAUCUUCACAUCCCUGUCUCCUGAUUCCAAACCACUGAUUUCCCUCCAGUGACAGUAAACCACUCGGAGUUUUGACUGCUGUGGUGAGCCAUUUGUAGUUAAGAAAAGGCCUACACCCGGGACCUCUUCUGUAACUGUUUCAAUGACCGCAAACCACAACCAAAAUAAUAUGCAACAAGCAGACAAAGAUCAGCUGGGCUAAAAUGCAGCCAGCUGAACAGUUGGAAAAUGCUUAAAAUAGAUAUUUGGAGAGCCGAGUAAGAGGUGCUUCAUCUCAGAGCUUGAAGUACCUUGCUUACCCCAGCCUGAGAGAAAAGCACUUGAUCUGUCAACUUUUUUCAUUACUCCUAGUCCAGAAGCCCUUGCAAUGGAUUUAUUUAUUCUAUUGCAUCUAUUUUAAGCAUAGCGAUAAUGAGCACACAGACAUUAGGAUGAUGGAAGGGAGAUAUUACUUUGGGUACAGUUAAACAUGACAUGAGUUGAAUUAGUCAGCCUUUGCAUGUAGCUGUGUUCUAGCUUUUUUUUUUCAUCUUUGUUCAGGAAAUGCUUGACUGGAAUCCUGAGCUGACAGCCACAUCUAUGACUUCACUGGAGGAGUUUUAAUGUGGAGUGCUAGGCACUAGUGGAGGCUCACUCAUUCCUGAGAGGAGGUUGUAGGAGAGGGCAUCAGAGGGUAUGGUGCCUGCCUUGCCAGGAUGGCACAUACCCCAGAAGCAAGGACCAGUGAUUGCAAGAAUGAAAAGCUUAUGUGAAGAUAUCUGGAUGCUUUAGUAUCAAUUUGGAUGUCUGAGACCAUGUCUAGAUAUGCAUGGAGAUGUGGACAAGAGACCUGCAUAAGUAAUAAUACAAUAUGAAAGUGAAAAAUGGUAGCUCUUUCAUACAGAUAUUCAUUCCCUAACACAUAGUGCCCAGGGAAACAGUCAAGAGCCUAGAGAAUGCAUGCAAAUGGCAAGUGAAAUUACUGGGUUGAGCUACAUAGCAAUCUAAUGUAAAUACGGCAGCAUACAUCCUAAGAUGUAUGUAACCAUGAAACACAGGACAGACCAACACAUUUUAACCUGCU
ensembl:lncRNA